AGGCAGUGUAUUGCUAGCUGGCUGUU
rnacentral:miRNA from 1 species